rnacentral:tmRNA from 1 species
GGGGGUGCACUGGUUUCGACGGGGGUUGUGAAGUCGCUUGGCGCAUGCCGAGGGGGUAGCUUUCCUCGUAAAUCCAGCUGCAAAACUCUAGUUGCCAACGACGACAACUACGCUCUCGCCGCUUAAGGCGUAAGCCCCGAACCCACUUGUGCCCGUGCUCGUGGAUGUAGGGUCAUUAUCACGGAACCGGCUGUGACGGCUGCCUGUCAGUCACUGCUUAACCAAAACAGGCUGGUCCUGGGGUGCGCUUUGCACACCGUGCUGCCACAGGGCGAGAUCCAACGGUGAGCUAAGCAUGUAGUGCCGGGGAUGGAGUGCCUUCGGACGGCGGUUCAAUUCCGCCCACCUCCACCA